AAGACAUAACUGAUUAUACAAGAGCAGAUAACAAGGGUUGGAGAUAUAGCUGAGAGGACCCAAUCCAGCUUUGCGUCAUACAUGAAGAAAGAAGAAAGUUCAUCGGUUACUUUUGUGAUGGAUCUGGUUGUUGAGUGCGGUGCAAUAGUAGGUAGUGAUGAAUAUUUCAUUGCUAAUGAAUUAUUUGUGAAGAGAGAGCAGAGAGAGAUGUUCCUGCACAUGACUGAAAGUGCUGCUCAUUUAGAUUGGUUGCGUAGGAAAUACAACACCAAGUAUGGACAUUAG
rnacentral:rRNA from 1 species